UACGUAGGGUGCAAGCGUUGUCCGGAAUUAUUGGGCGUAAAGAGCUCGUAGGCGGUUUGUCGCGUCGAAUGUGAAAACCCGGGGCUCAACCCCGGGCCUGCAUUCGAUACGGGCAGACUAGAGUUCGGUAGGGGAGUCUGGAAUUCCUGGUGUAGCGGUGAAAUGCGCAGAUAUCAGGAGGAACACCGGUGGCGAAGGCGGGACUCUGGGCCGAUACUGACGCUGAGGAGCGAAAGCGUGGGGAGCAACAGG
rnacentral:rRNA from 1 species